rnacentral:lncRNA from 1 species
AUAGAUCCAAGUGUUGACCAUCACCAUACAACUUAUAGUAGACCAAAUAGCAGUAACAGCCACUGCCAUCUGCUCCCCAAGUAGUGCCUUCUUAAUAUAGUCAUCAAAAUCACUCUCUAGUCCCUGAGAACCCCCCUUGGGGUACACAACGAUCUGCUUUGCCCAACCAACGAUCACCGUCUAGGUGGGGGUCCAAGCAUGAAGGGUGACACCACCACUCCCCAGCCUCUUCCGAUGGAGACUCUACCCCAGGCUAUUCUCCACUCCACUAGGAGGAGGACCUCGAGCAGAAGGUCUGAGAGAUCGAGCAUCAUUUGGGUGAAGUCCAGAUGGAUAGCCGAGAGAAAAAUGAAGCCCUCAACUUUAACUCUUGGCCACCCUUCAUCCGCUCCAUCCUUUAGGAAUUG